CCGACAAGCGCAGCCAUGGCCGGGCGGCUGGUGGACGGGACGCAAGUGUCUUACAUUGGCCAGGACUGCAAAGCAAUUCCAGAAUUCCUUGGGACAAAAUACGGACCCAUCGCAAAAAGGUUGGACCUCAGUUUCAAUUUAUUAAGAUGCCUGGAAG